UGGUCUGCAACUCGACCACACGAAGCUGGAAUCGCUAGUAAUCGCGAAUCAGCAUGUCGCGGUGAAUACGCUCCCGGGCCUUGUACACACCGCCCGUCACACCAUGAGAGCCGGGAACACCCGAAGUCCGUAGUCUAACCUAUAUGGAGGACGCGGCCGAAGGUGGGUUUGGUAAUUGGGGUGAAGUCGUAACAAGGUACC
rnacentral:rRNA from 1 species